rnacentral:rRNA from 1 species
GCCUUAGAUGUUCUGGGCCGCACGCGCGCUACACUGACGAUGGCAACGAGUUUUUCCUUCGCCGAAAGGUGUGGGUAAUCUUUUGAAACAUCGUCGUGCUGGGGAUAGAUCAUUGCAAUUUUUGAUCUUGAACGAGGAAUUCCUAGUAAGCGCGAGUCAUCAGCUCGCGUUGAUUACGUCCCUGCCCUUUGUACACACCGCCCGUCGCUACUACCGAUUGAAUGGUUUAGUGAGGACUCCUGAUUGGCGCCGCCGCCCCGGCAACGGAGCAGCGGACUGCCGAAAAGUUGUUCAAACUUGAUCAUUUAGAGGAAGUAAAAGUCGUAACA